rnacentral:rRNA from 1 species
GACGAACGCUGGCGGCGUGCUUAACACAUGCAAGUCGAACGGAAAGGCCCUGCUUUUGUGGGGUGCUCGAGUGGCGAUCGGGUGAGUAACACGUGAGUAACCUGCCCUUUACUUUGGGAUAACUUCAGGAAACUGGGGCUAAUACCGGAUAGGAGCUCCUGCUGCAUGGUGGGGGUUGGAAAGUUUCGGCGGUUGGGGAUGGACUCGCGGCUUAUCAGCUUGUUGGUGGGGUAGUGGCUUACCAAGGCUUUGACGGGUAGCCGGCCUGAGAGGGUGACCGGCCACAUUGGGACUGAGAUACGGCCCAGAAUCCUACGGGAGGCAGCAGUGGGGAAUAUUGCAAAAUGGGCGGAAGCCUGAUGCAGCAACGCCGCGUGCGGGAUGACGGCCUUCGGGUUGUAAACAGCUUUCGCCUGUGACGAAGAGUGAGUGACGGUAAUGGGUAAAGAAGCACCGGCUAACUACGUG